rnacentral:tRNA from 1 species
GGUUAUAUAGCUCAAGUGGUACAGUGCAUGCUUGCCGUGCAUGAGGUCCUGGGAUCAAGCCCCAGUACCUCCA